rnacentral:rRNA from 1 species
GACGAACCGAGCGAACGUUAUUCGGAAUCACUGGGCUUAAAGGGCGCGUAGGCGGGCCGUAACGUCAGGGGUGAAAUCCUCCAGCUCAACUGGAGAAGUGCCUUUGAUACUUGCGGCCUCGAGGGAGGUAGGGGCGUGCGGAACUUCCGGUGGAGCGGUGAAAUGCGUAGAUAUCGGAAGGAACACCGGUGGCGAAAGCGGCGCGCUGGACCUCUUCUGACGCUGAGGCGCGAAAGCCAGGGGAGCAAACGGG